CUCGCCGUAGCUCAGCGGAAAGAGCCCCGCCCCUCCGAAGGCGGACGUCGCACGUUCGCAUCGUGCCGGCGAGGCCA
rnacentral:tRNA from 1 species